rnacentral:rRNA from 1 species
ACGUAGGUGGCAAGCGUUGUCCGGAAUUAUUGGGCGUAAAGGGCGCGUAGGCGGCUUAAUAAGUCAGAUGUGAAACCCCGGGGCUUAACUCCGGAAUGGCAUUUGAAACUGUUGAGCUUGAGUGCAGGAGAGGAAAGCGGAAUUCCUAGUGUAGCGGUGAAAUGCGUAGAUAUUAGGAGGAACACCAGUGGCGAAGGCGGCUUUCUGGACUGUAACUGACGCUGAGGCGCGAAAGCGUGGGGAGCAAACAG